AUACCUUUCUCGGCCUUUUGGCUAAGAUCAAGUGUAGUAUCUGUUCUUAUCAGUUUAAUAUCUGAUACGUGGGCCAUCGGCCCACAUGAUAUUAAAUUAAUUUUUCUAGGGUGAGGGUCCAUUAUCAGUAGCUUGCUACUGGGGCUCUCGAGUGUCGCCCAUGCGUUGCACUACUGCUUGGGCCUGGCACAACCCUC